rnacentral:rRNA from 1 species
AGCGGCGGACGGGUGAGUUUCGCGUGGGUAACCUGCCCUGUACACACGGAUAACAUACCGAAAGGUAUGCUAAUACGAGAUAAUAUGCUUUUAUCGCAUGGUAGAAGUAUCAAAGCUCCGGCGGUACAGGAUGGACCCGCGUCUGAUUAGCUAGUUGGUAAGGUAACGGCUUACCAAGGCGACGAUCAGUAGCCGACCUGAGAGGGUGAUCGGCCACAUUGGAACUGAGACACGGUCCAAACUCCUACGGGAGGCAGCAGUGGGGAAUAUUGCACAAUGGGCGAAAGCCUGAUGCAGCAACGCCGCGUGAGCGAUGAAGGCCUUCGGGUCGUAGAGCUCUGUCCUCAAGGAAGAUAAUGACGGUACUUGAGGAGGAAGCCCCGGCUAACUACGUGCCAGCAGCCGCGGUAAUACGUAGGGGGCUAGCGUUAUCCGGAAUUACUGGGCGCAAAGGGUGCGUAGGUGGUUUCUUAAGUCAGAGGUGAAAGGCUACGGCUCAACCGUAGUAAGCCUUUGAAACUGGGAAACUUGAGUGCAGGAGAGGAGAGUGGAAUUCCUAGUGUAGCGGUGAAAUGCGUAGAUAUUAGGAGGAACACCAGUUGCGAAGGCGGCUCUCUGGACUGUAACUGACACUGAGGCACGAAAGCGUGGGGAGCAAACAGGAUUAGAUACCCUGGUAGUCCACGCCGUAAACGAUGAGUACUAGCUGU